rnacentral:lncRNA from 1 species
AAAUGGAAACGAAACUAAGAAAGCAAUUUAAAACAAUUAAAGGCAACUACUAAAUAAAAUAAAGGUUUAAACCUUCGGAUGGUCCUCAUAUUUGUAUGGAAAUCUCAAGUGGGUCCUCAUAUUUGCAACUGUCUCAAUUAGAUCAUAAUAUUUGUAAAAUUGAGCCAAUUUUGCCCUGUCCGAUAAAUGUUCCCAAACGGUGUUAACAGAUGCUGACAUGUAAUUAUUUUUAAGAGGACAUGUCAUUGUGAUUAAAUUUACUGAGUGACGUGUUUUACCAUCUCAAUUCCACCUAACAUUUAAAGAGGUGUGUCUUCUCCUCCCUCCCCCUCCGCGUCCUCCCCCAUCACUGCUCCAUCGGCGCCACCACUACCAACAACCACCGCCGUCCAACGAAACACCAAAUAUUCAAAAAUUUUCCCCUAUCGCUGGCAACGUCAUAUGGCCCAUGGUUCUUCAAACCCCGUUGUUUAGUAAACCCCAAGCGAUGUCGUUUCAAUGGUGCUUGUAGAAUCGAAGUUGACUUGGACCAUGCGUUGGACAACGCACCUAAAGACUAAUCAGAGUCACGUUGUUUGCUGCCCCAUUUGGAAUCCUCAGAUUCUCUUGCAUCAGAGUUUUUACCUUGAGAUAGUAGUGGCGUGGUGGAUCGGGGGAACUUUCGCUAUCCAAUUUUUUAUCUCUUGCCCAACUAUUUCCCUUUUUGCUAGUGCAAUUGAUGGAUGUCACCGCCUAAUCAAAUUAGAUGUGCAUUUAAAGUGCAGUAUAGCUAGGGAAUGACCCUUAGGUCAUCUCCCAAAGACCAAUUUUGCGAUUCAGAAUCAAGUCAAACACACAGUGGGGGAUUGAAAGUUUUGCAUAUGAGAAUUACACUAAAGUAAAAUGCAUAGAAAUUAAACACAACUCGAAUAGGAUAGAAAGCAUUUUAAAAAAAAAUAAAAUGAAAUAAAAAUCAAAACUCAACCUACAAUUCAAACUAAUUUAAAAUAAAAGAAAAUAAAAUAAAAAUUAUAGUUUAUCUAAAUCCUAAACUACUUUAAAAUAACAGAAAAAAAAAACAUGUUUAUCCAAAUACCAGGACGUGACAUAUGCCUUUAUCCAAAUUGAAAAGGAAUUGAAUGCAUAUUCCUUCAAUCAUCAAUGAGUGCUUACGGCCUGCACCCAAUAUCAAGCAUCAAAAUGAGAUGAAAACUCAAUGUAAC